GAAGCCAGAGCAGCGCCCGAGCCCCGGGUCCAGAGAGCGCCAUGCAGAGCCGCAGCGGCAGGAAAGCCUUUGACAGCAUCUGCCCCAACCGGGUGCGAGAUCUGGGCAGCCGGCUGGGCAAGAAGCCAGCCAGGGCAGAAAGGAAGCCAGUGCCGCGGAAGAGCUUGGCCAGCGCCACUCCCGGGGUAGUGCACCGCGACCAGCCUCCCGACGCGCUGGAGCUGGCGCUUGCAACCAUCGACUGGCAAGAGUUAGCAGCCUGCACCUCGGUCUUUCAGCA